GUGCUCACUUCGGCAGCCCAUAUACUACAAUUGGAGAGAGACAGGAUUAGCAUGGCUCCCUGGGAAAGGAUGACAGAUUUGUUAAGGGUUUCAUAGGUUUUU
rfam:Tupaia chinensis contig190424, whole genome shotgun sequence.